AAUUUUCUAAAAAUGUAUAUUUUUCAUAAUUGAAGCAUCAAGUUAGCAAUUAGAAUUGGUUGCUAGAGAACAAUAUAAUACCUAGAAGUUUUAGCCGAAAAAUCCUAGCAUUGACUACGCAGUUCUUGGAGUUCCAUUCGGUUAAACCAAGAACGUCAUAGAAAACCAUAUUUGCAGUUCAACCAAUCCAUUUCACAUGCUGCUGAAAUGUUUUUAGCACAUUUCAAA
rnacentral:misc_RNA from 1 species